rnacentral:misc_RNA from 1 species
UGCUCAUCAUCAAUCAAUUCAAUGGCAGCCCUCGUCCAGCCGGUUAAUUUUUUUGCACAAGCGCUGGACAGAAAAGUGUAAUUAAGCGGCAUAAAAGUGGUUUACAUUUAUAGUAUAACUUGUAAAUAAACAGUUAAGCAUUAUACUAUUAUUGGAAGACAAGUUUUCAACGCACAACCAAAGGAUUUCGUAAAAAGUCGGCCAGCUUGUCCCGCAAAUUUUCCCACAGGGGUGUGUGUAUAACAAAAUGGCGUCCUCGCAAGUCUCAAACAAAUCGGGCUCCGGUUGGCCGCGCCGCGGAAGUCAAGGCCAAGCGGAUGCAGCCAGCAGCAAUAACAACGGUACCCAGAAGUACACCAACCAGGCGCUGACCAUCAAUCGCACCAUCAACUUAUACCCUCUGACGAACUACACAUUCGGCACCAAGGAGCCGCUCUUUGAGAAGGAUCCGUCGGUGCCAUCCCGAUUCCAGCGGAUGCGCGAGGAGUUCGACCGGAUCGGAAUGCGGCGCUCCGUCGAGGGAGUGCUUCUUGUCCACGAGCACGGACUGCCACAUGUCUUGCUCCUGCAGCUGGGCACCACGUUCUUCAAACUGCCCGGUGGCGAGCUAAACGCUGGCGAGGAUGAGGUCGAGGGCCUCAAGAGAUUGCUAUCCGAGACGCUGGGUCGUCAGGACGGCGUAAAGCAGGAGUGGAUUGUUGAGGACACGAUUGGGAACUGGUGGCGGCCGAACUUUGAGCCACCGCAAUAUCCAUACAUUCCGCCGCACAUCACCAAGCCCAAGGAGCACAAGAGGCUCUUCCUCGUCCAGCUACAUGAAAAGGAUACGGACGGGAACGCCAGUUACGAUGUACCCUGAGCAGUUCCAUUAGCGCCGUGUGUGUCGUAUCUACCCAACUCUAAUCUCAAGAGUGCAAUGCCAUUGAACAACAAUCGAGCAAACAGAACAGAUCAAACAGAAAAGAAACAAACAGAUCGCAAAAGCUGGCGCAGGCGACUUCUUAGUUAGUUUUGAUUCUAGUCCAAUUGUACACAUGUCGAAAAUCAAAUUCAAAUUGUAUUUUUGCUCAGGACUGAGUGUUGGCAUAUUUUGUUAUUUCUCGAUUUUUAUCAUUCGAAAUUCAAAGAUUGUUCUUGUACUUAAUUUUGUAAAUAUGUCGACAUACUUGUGAGACUGAGCGCAGCAAUGUUAUCCUUCUAUUUACAUAUUUUAUUUAUUUCCUAGCUUCUAUUCUUACUUUUGUGAAGUGUCAUGUGUUGUUCAUCUUAAGGUUGUUGUGUAUUUAUCGAAAGCAAUCCAAUCCACCGGGCAGGCAGCAGAAGAGCAUUGUAACGUUGCUGGCUGUCGCAGUCAUGUGCCCAAAUCUCGCGUGUUUUGCAGAUUUGCACGCAUGCAGGGCAGUCAGGUCGCAAGUCGCUCCUUAAAUUAAGCACUCGUUUAUGUAAACACAAGCAAAUACUAUUUAUACCUUUUUUGGCCCUUACUUGCAUUCACUGUGCGCUGAAAUGAACUGAUGUUGUCCACCAGCUGAAGCAUUUCAGCGCACAAGUCGAACCGCACUUAUCAUGUAUAAUGUUGCUCUUAAUUGAAAUUAUGUUCAUAACUGAAAAUAGGAGACAUCGCUGGGCCAGCAAAGUGCCGGUCAUGCUUUGCAAGUCGCAGCGAAUCCAAUUAAUUAGUCUAACGUAACCAACUAUGAAUGUAAAACGAAACGCAUACGACUCUUUAUAUCAUACGGCUGCGAAAUGAUUCUUAAUAUGUAAAUUGUACAACCGAUUGUAAUAUCCCUAGAUGAUAUAUCCUGUGAAUUUGAAUGCUCGUUGAUAUCUCUACAUACAUGAAUUCUGUCUCUAUCGUUUUCCGUAAUCUAGCACUAUUUGCUGUACCCAAAAAUUAUAAGCUUGUUGCUGCGCCAUUGUUCGAGCUAUACGACAACUCGCAAGGGUAUGGACCCAUUAUCUCAUCUCUGCCGCAGGCCCUCUGCAGAUUCAACUUUAUCUACAUGUAAGGGCAGACGGAGGAGUGGCCCACGUCCAGCAAUAGUUAAGCAUCAGCAGCAGCAGCAGCACCAACGAUAGCGCUACCUAACUGAUUUCAGCACCACAGAUCAGCCCGUAGAUUUCCAUUUAAUGUGUGUGUGUAAACGUACAUAAUUGUAUUGCAGAUAAAAUGGAAAGCCAGGCCCUUUUACUUGGCAAAUAGAGUCGACAAAAUUUGUGCUUUA